UGGGCGCCAAAAUCAUAAACUUCAAUACCCCGUCUGGUAUGAGGGUGAAACGGGUCGUCCCCAUACCCCGUCCGGUAUGGGCGCCAAAACACAUAAGGUCUUCAUACCCCGUCCGAUAUGAGAGACCACGUUUUCGGUAGGGUUCUCUAGGGACCCGAUCCGUCCACUAUCUCCUAGGAUAUCUAAUGAGGGUGUCGACAUUAUCCAUUAUCAAUUCACGUGCCUUUUUACUAUUUUUCUUAAUCUCAAUUAUCCAAUCAAAUACAAACACGUAAAUCAGUAAUAGAUAUCAAAUAAG
rnacentral:lncRNA from 1 species